GAUGAACUGGAGCUUGCUCCAGGGAUUAGUGGCGAACGGGUGAGUAACACGUGAGUAACCUGCCCUUGACUCUGGGAUAAGCGCUAGAAAUGGCGUCUAAUACCGGAUACGAGCUUCAGCCGCAUGGCUAGGAGUUGGAAAGAAUUUUGGUCAAGGAUGGACUCGCGGCCUAUCAGCUAGUUGGUGAGGUAAUGGCUCACCAAGGCGACGACGGGUAGCCGGCCUGAGAGGGUGACCGGCCACACUGGGACUGAGACACGGCCCAGACUCCUACGGGAGGCAGCAGUGGGGAAUAUUGCACAAUGGGCGAAAGCCUGAUGCAGCAACGCCGCGUGAGGGAUGACGGCCUUCGGGUUGUAAACCUCUUUUAGUAGGGAAGAAGCGAAAGUGACGGUACCUGCAGAAAAAGCACCGGCUAACUACGUGCCAGCAGCCGCGGUAAUACGUAGGGUGCAAGCGUUGUCCGGAAUUAUUGGGCGUAAAGAGCUCGUAGGCGGUUUGUCGCGUCUGCUGUGAAAUCUGGGGGCUCAACCCCCAGCCUGCAGUGGGUACGGGCAGACUAGAGUGCGGUAGGGGAGAUUGGAAUUCCUGGUGUAGCGGUGGAAUGCGCAGAUAUCAGGAGGAACACCGAUGGCGAAGGCAGAUCUCUGGGCCGUAACUGACGCUGAGGAGCGAAAGCAUGGGGAGCGAACAGGAUUAGAUACCCUGGUAGUCCAUGCCGUAAACGUUGGGAACUAGAUGUGGGGGCCAUUCCACGGUCUCCGUGUCGCAGCUAACGCAUUAAGUU
rnacentral:rRNA from 1 species